rnacentral:rRNA from 1 species
UACAGAGGUCCCAAGCGUUACUGAGAAUCACUGGGUUUAAAGGGUGCGUAGGUGGUCCGUUAAGUCAGUUGUGAAAUCCCCGGGCUCAACCCGGGAACUGCUUCUGAUACUGGCGGACUUGAGGCCAGUAGGGGUCACUAGAACUGACGGUGGAGCGGUGAAAUGCGCAGAUAUCAGGAGGAACACCAAUGGCGAAGGCAGCUCGCUGGGACGGUACUGACGCUGAGACGCGAAAGCGUGGGGAGCAAACAGG